rnacentral:lncRNA from 1 species
CUGAGCCACUGGUACAACAUGCGUUUCCCGCUCCUUCUCUUAUUUAAGAGGUGAGCCCACCCUUGGCCUCUUCUCACGGUUUUCUGGGGCUACAACAUGAACAUACGCAUUAGUUCGGAUAAAGCUUCCCAUAAAGUCUUUUGGAUAGGCCCAAAAAUGAACUCUUACCUUUUUCUGUUGGGGCCGAUUCGGGCUCAACCCUUGAAGUUGGGGGAACAGGAGCCUUGCGUUUUCUUUGUCAAAACCCUAACUAGAGGGCUGAGAGGAAGAUGGUGUAACUGUUGUUCUUCUCCCUACUUCCUCUGAUGAAUCCCCACCAAAAGCUGGAGAAGCCCUUCAAUCUACUGACAAGAUAAUGCAAAAUCAACAUCAUUCGACAAGGAAGAAAUCAAAGCUCUGAC